UUCUUGUUUUAGUGUUUAACACAUAUAUUUAAUUUUAAAAACGAGGAAUAAAAUAAGUAUAAAUAUAUCUACUUGUGCUGAUUUGGUGUAGUAAACAUAGUCACCUUGAGAAGGCUUAUAUGUUAAGCAGAUGCAUUAAGUAGCUUAGUGAUAUGUAUAAGUAUAUUUCAUUUUAAUUCAAAUACAUCCAUUUGGAGUGUUUCAUCCCAUCCUAUAAUGUUCAAAGCGAACAUAG
rnacentral:lncRNA from 1 species